UACGGAGGGUGCAAGCGUUAUCCGGAUUUGCUGGGCGUAAAGGGCUCGUAGGUGGCCAACUAAGUCAGACGUGAAAUCCCUCGGCUUAACCGGGGAACUGCGUCUGAUACCGGAUGGCUUGAGAUUGGGAGAGGGAUGCGGAAUUCCGCGUGUAGCAGUGAAAUGCGUAGAUAUGCGGAGGAACACCGAUGGCGAAGGCAAUCCCCUGGACCUGUACUGACGCUCAUGCACGAAAGCGUGGGGAGCAAACAGG
rnacentral:rRNA from 1 species